GGCACCAUGGCCGUGAGGCCGCAGCCCCCGGGCGGUGCCGUGGCAGCUACCGCCUACCCCGACACCCCCGUCGAAUUUCCCCCGUACCUCCAGGCGGGCGCGAUGCGGCGCCGCUUCUGGGGCGUGUUCAACUGCCUGUGCGCCGGCGCGUUCGGGGCCCUGGCCGCCGCCUCCGCCAAGCUGGCCUUCGGCAGCGAGGCGGUAAGAGACGUCGGGGACUGAGGCCUCCUCCCUUACCAGGCACCUAAAAUCUUUCCUCCGAUUGGGCUAGUUCGCUCUCGGGGAAGAUCUACACCUCCUACAUCCACCCUCUACCUCUCAUUUUAAGCCCCUUGUGCCUGAGCAUUUCUCUCCACGUGACUCUUAAGGUGAACGUAGGCUUAUCCGUCUUAGGCAUCAUAGUGAUGGCAAGCACCAAUUCCCUGAUGUGGACCUUCUUUAGCCGGGGCCUCAGUUUCUCCAUGUCUUCAGCCAUUGCAUCUGUCACAGUGACUUUUUCAAACAUCCUCAGCUCGGCCUUCCUGGGCUAUGUGCUGUAUGGAGAGUGCCAGGAGGUGUUGUGGUGGGGAGGAGUGUUCCUCAUCCUCUGCGGACUCACACUGAUCCACAGGAAGCUCCCGCCCACCUGGAAGAGCCUUCCACACAAGCAGCAGUAGCACCAAUUGGCUGGACAGAACAGCAGGAAAGAUAAUGAUGGCGGCCCAGCCUGGGGUUGGUGUGUGGGACUGCUUCCCAGGGGACCCACGUGUGCAGCCUUCUGACCAUCAGCCAAGAGGAGAUGCUAGACCAGCCAGGCCUUUGGGCCAGCCCUGCUCCCAAGGGAGGCAGGCCUCUGACAGAGCCGCUUUGAGGGUGGACAGCUCUGGCUUCUGUAAGGGGGGUACAACCACAGCAGUGUUCUGCCCGAGGCAUUCCUGAUCAUCUGUACAGUGCUUUUGAUUCUUGUGCUCCCAGGCCUGCCCCAGUGAGCUUGGCAGGUGCUGGAGAUCUGGGCUGGGUCUGCUUUGAGUAUGGUGCUUGAAACCACACCGUAAUUAUAGUCCUAUUGCCUGACCAAGGCCAGUCACUUAACUCUACAUCAGUGACUGGGGGGGCUUUCUGACAACUCCAUGCUAAUGUACCCGGCCAUCUGUGUCACACCUACGUAUUAUGGCAGGAGAAGGGAAACUGGGUUAAUAAAUAUUGUUUUGUAAGUUAAAAUGA